rnacentral:misc_RNA from 1 species
GAUGAAGAACGUAGCGAAAUGCGAUAAGUAAUGUGAAUUGCAGAAUUCAGUGAAUCAUCGAAUCUUUGAACGCACCUUGCACCCUUUGGCAUUCCGAAGGGUAUGCUCGUUUGAGUGUCAUUGUACUCUCACACUCUCUGAUCCUUUGGAUUCAGGGAGCGGUGGACUUGGGUGUUUGCUGCUUUCCUUGUGGCUCACCUGAAAUGCGUUAGUGCACCUCUUGGUUGGACAUAGAACGGCGUGAUAAGUGUCUUCGCCGGCACCUCGCAAGAGGGUGGCCAAUUGGGAGCUCUGUGCUUUCAAACCGUCUUCGGACAAUCUCUGACAACUUGACCUCAAAUCGAGUAGGACUACCCGCUGAACUUAAGCAUAUCAAUAAGCGGAGGA